ACGUAGGGCUAAAAGCCAUGGG
rnacentral:miRNA from 1 species